rnacentral:rRNA from 1 species
AGAGUUUGAUCAUGGCUCAGGAUGAACGCUAGCGGCAGGCCUAACACAUGCAAGUCGAGGGAUAUAGGGGCUUCGGCCUUUAGGGACCAGCAGAUAAGUGAAUAUCACAUAUGCAAUUUACCUUGUACAGGGGAAUAGCCCAGGGAAACUUGGAUUAAUGUCCCAUAGUAUUAUUUAAUGGCAUCAUUUUAUAAUUAAAAAUUUAUCGGUACAAGAUGAGCAUGCGUCCCAUUAGCUAGUUGGUAUGGUAACGGCAUACCAAGGCUACGAUGGGUAGGGGCCCUGAGAGGGGGAUCCCCCACACUGGUACUGAGACACGGACCAGACUCCUACGGGAGGCAGCAGUGAGGAAUAUUAGACAAUGGGCGAGAGCCUGAUCCAGCCAUGCCGCGUGCAAAAAGACUGCCUUAUGGGUUGUAAACUGCUUUUGUACGGGAAGAAACACCUCCACGUGUGGGGGCUUGACGGUACUGUACGAAUAAGGAUCGGCUAACUCCGUGCCAGCAGCCGCGGUAAUACGGAGGAUCCGAGCGUUAUCCGGAAUCAUUGGAUUUAAAGGGUCCGUAGGCGGGCGAUUAAGUCAGCGGUGAAAUUCUGCAGCUCAACUGUAGGACUGCCGUUGAUACUGGUUGUCUUGAAUGGAUGUGAAGUGGCUGGAAUAUGUGGUAUAGCGGUGAAAUGCUUAGAUAUCACAUGGAACACCGAUUGCGAAGGCAAAUCACUAACAUUUCAUUAACGCUGAGGGACGAAAGCGUGGGGAUCAAACAGGAUUAGAUACCCUGGUAGUCCACGCUGUAAACGAUGGAUACUAGCUGUUCGGUGCACAUUGGUGUGCUGAGUGGCCCAGCGAAAGUGAUAAGUAUCCCACCUGGGGAGUACGUUCGCAAAAAUGAAACUCAAAGGAAUUGACAAAAACCCGCACAAGCGGUGGAGCAUGUGGUUUAAUUCGAUGAUACGCGAGGAACCUUACCAGGGCUUAAAUGCAUAAUGACAGGUGUGGAAACACACCCUUCUUCGGACAUUUUACAAGGUGCUGCAUGGUUGUCAUCAGCUCGUGCCGUGAGGUGUCAGGUUAAGUCCUAUAACGAGCGCAACCCUUGUCGUUAGUUGCCAGCGAGUCAUGUCAAGAACUCUAACGAGACUGCCGGUGCAAACCGUGAGGAAGGUGGGGAUGACGUCAAAUCAUCACGGCCCUUACGUCCUGGGCGACACACGUGCUACAAUGGUCGGUACAGUGGGCAGCCAUCCGGCGACGGAGCGCGAAUCCAUAAAGCCGAUCUCAGUUCGGAUCAAAAUCUGCAACUCGACCCCGUGAAGCUGGAAUCGCUAGUAAUCGCAGAUCAGCCAUGCUGCGGUGAAUACGUUCCCGGGCCUUGUACACACCGCCCGUCAAGCCAUGGAAGCCGGAAGCACCUGAAGUCCGUUACCGCGAGGAGCGGCCUAGGGUGAAGCUGGUGACUAAAACUAAGUCGUAACAAGGUAGCCGU